AUGUGGGAUGGUCUUGUGGGGCUUUGAAAGGGCAUCCGAGGUAGUAAAAUGCUACACUUCGGUGCCUGAAGGGUUAGCUCCUCUGUGCUUUGUAGAUAUUACUCUUUAUAUGAUCAAUUUCCUUAUAAUAGUUACAGUGUAAAAGUGAAUAUUUCUAUUUCCCUAGUGAAGGGUUAAAACAUGCUUUUUGAACUCUUAUGUGUUUGCAUUGGAUGCAUGCUGCCCUGUGUUAGAUGCCUUUGUCUCUCAUACAGAUACCAGGCUUGUGUGGGUCUGGCAUCCAAGGUCAGCUCUAUACUAGAUGAAACCUGCUUUUUCUACUUCUGUGUGUUACUAAAAGAUCCUUUGUUAAGUUCCGUCUGAUGCAACGUAUAUAACAUCUGCCUAGCAACUGCUAUAUCCAAUUAUGUUAUGUCAAGUAUUAACCACCCCUACGUACCCCACUAGGGCACCACCCCUAAGCCAAUGAGCCCUGUUACACUUAUCAGUUACACCCUUAUGUGUUCUCUUUUUAUACCAAUGUUAAACAUUCAAUAAAACAGUGUGAACUUUUACUGCUUGUGUUUGUGCAUGUAACUGAUAGCGUAAGGGUUUACACUCCAGACGUCUGUGAGGCCAUCACAUCGAGGGUUAAAGAAAAUAAGGUCAAAUCCUUUCAGCUGGGGGUUAUGUCCGGGAUUCAGUGAUCGUCCCUGGGUGGUAAGGAUAGAGAAUUUAUUGUCUGUCUUUGUCAUGCAGGAUUGCGGUCAUACACUGAAGCUGAAUCCGUGUCAGUGUUCCGGGAACACGUGACAAGGAACCUACACACCCCUUUAAAGUCGGAGACAGAGUCGUGGUGAAGGUGCUCCCCAGGAACAAGAGCCCAGGAGACUUCACCUAUGGUCCAGAGACAGAGGUCGUAGCAGUUACCCGAACAGCAGUCCUGACAGAGGAAAGUCCUACCUGGACCCAUGCAUCCCGAGUAAAAAAAGGUUCCUAGACCAGACCUAGAGAGGGAAGCAAGUGAUUCCAGUGAGGUACGAACCGGGGCAGACAGCCCUGACCUCCCACCUAGCGAAGAAAGAAGAACAGAAGAAGAUGAGGAACCUGUCCCCUAUCUUUAUCCUGGGGACUAUCUCGAUAGCCCUACUGGCCCUCAUUCACCUCACAAUAUGUGAAGUCGACAUCACACAAACAGAUGGGGUCCCCACCUUGUGGUACAAUUCCUCCAAUACACACGUAGCCACAUACAUCCUUGAUUAUUUCAUGUUCCCUAAACUUGCUGACAACAAACAUUUCAUACAGCAGAAAAGGAAAUCAGGAAUGUCUGAGACAGUAUAUAUUUGUGUUACUGACGAAUGGUACUAUAGUGCAAGACAAAUGUUUUAUUUGUGGGACAUGUACAAAAACCCAAAAUACCAGCCUAAAAUUGCUCCCCAAAACAAACCUUUAAAGCCCCAUAUUGCCACUUUUAAAGAUAUGGUGGCUAUUACUAACCCUACCUUUGAAGACACCCUAGCUAUUGAAACUGGUUUCUCUGACAUUAAUUUUGGUUGGAAUGGAUGAAGUAUAGUGCUAACAAACACAAUAAAAGCAACUGUUAUGUCUGUGGCAAAUCUAGGCCCCACCUAGGUGCAGUGCCCCUUAAUAUACCCCUAGAACAAGAAAAUUGUUUUUUUUUCAGCCUUUUUAAUGACACCAAAACAAAUGGCAGUCAGUGCGAAAUGUGGAAAAGGGAAUAUCCCAUAUUGUCAAAAAAUCCCAACCCAGGAAGCACCAUAACUAUAUAUCCUGGAAACUACACUUGUUAUACAUCUAACACCACCACAGGGAGAAAUUUAAAAACCUUCCCACCAGGGUAUUGUGCAAAUAAGCAUAUUCAUACUUGUAACUUUAAUUCUUGUAGGCAUUAUAGUUUAUUGUAUAAUUCCCUGUGGAAAGAAACUUACCUCCAAAGGCAUUGAUAAGGCCCUGAUGUACUAUGAUAUAACCACCAGUCCUGUCACCUCCUCUGAUAGUAAGGGACCCGACGAUUAUGUCCAAUAGCUCAAGAACUGGAGGAACAAGAAAGGAGCCUCACUCAAGAAUCAUGUCAUAUAUUAAUCAUGAUUCUAAGAGGGGAUUGAAGGGUUAGCUCCUCUGUGCUUUGUAGAUAUUACUCUUUAUAUGAUCAAUUUCCUUAUAAUAGUUACAGUGUAAAAGUGAAUAUUUCUAUUUCCCUAGUGAAGGGUUAAAACAUGCUUUUUGAACUCUUAUGUGUUUGCAUUGGAUGCAUGCUGCCCUGUGUUAGAUGCCUUUGUCUCUCAUACAGAUACCAGGCUUGUGUGGGUCUGGCAUCCAAGGUCAGCUCUAUACUAGAUGAAACCUGCUUUUUCUACUUCUGUGUGUUACUAAAAGAUCCUUUGUUAAGUUCCGUCUGAUGCAACGUAUAUAACAUCUGCCUAGCAACUGCUAUAUCCAAUUAUGUUAUGUCAAGUAUUAACCACCCCUACGUACCCCACUAGGGCACCACCCCUAAGCCAAUGAGCCCUGUUACACUUAUCAGUUACACCCUUAUGUGUUCUCUUUUUAUACCAAUGUUAAACAUUCAAUAAAACAGUGUGAACUUUUA